UGAGGAAUAUUGGGCAAUGGACGCAAGUCUGACCCAGCGAUGUCGCGUGAAGGAUGAAGGCCCUCGGGUUGUAAACUUCUGUCAGCAGGGAAGAUAAUGACGGUACCUGCAGAGGAAGCCCCGGCUAACUCCGUGCCAGCAGCCGCGGUAAUACGGAGGGGGCAAACGUUACUCGGAUUUACUGGGCGUAAAGGGUUCGUAGGCGGUUAUUUAAGUUAGAUGUGAAAGCUUGAAGCUUAACUUCAAAAUAGCAUCUAAAACUGGAUUACUAGAUUCUUGGAGAGGUUGAUGGAAUUACCGGUGUAGCGGUGAAAUGCGUAGAUAUCGGUAGGAACACCAGUGGCGAAAGCGAUCAACUGGCCAAGUUAUGACGCUGAGGGACGAAAGCGUGGGUAGCAAACAGG
rnacentral:rRNA from 1 species